UACGUAGGUGGCAAGCGUUGUCCGGAAUUAUUGGGCGUAAAGCGCGCGCAGGCGGCUUCUUAAGUCUGAUGUGAAAUCUCGGGGCUCAACCCCGAGCGGCCAUUGGAAACUGGGAAGCUUGAGUACAGAAGAGGAGAGUGGAAUUCCACGUGUAGCGGUGAAAUGCGUAGAUAUGUGGAGGAACACCAGUGGCGAAGGCGACUCUCUGGUCUGUAACUGACGCUGAGGCGCGAAAGCGUUGGGAGCAAACAGG
rnacentral:rRNA from 1 species